CCAGCCGCGGAACGAGAAUGGACCUGGGCCAAUAGCGGCGCUUCUCUUCAUACUCGAGAACUUGGCUUGAACUUGUGUGACGUUACGUUGCCAAGUUACGCAGACGCAAGCUCCUCAAGAUGGCUGAAGCUACGACAACUCGUCAAAGUCUAAGUAAGUAAAUCACAAAGAAGCUGACUGGCCGUGGCAGGGGGACAGCUCUUUGGAUGACCUCCAUUGGCAACGAGGUUGGUUAGAUCCUGACCAGUGUCGUGACAGUGCAGGAGGGGCUGGGACUGGAAAGGAUGGAGUGAUGAAGCGGUACCACCAAGCAGCUGUUCCACCCCCAGUCCUGCUAUACGUGGACUGUGGCCGCUGCUAAGCUGCAGACCAGGUACACCUGGCACUUCAUGAGGAGGCGG
ensembl:lncRNA